rnacentral:rRNA from 1 species
AUUGAACGCUGGCGGAAUGCUUUACACAUGCAAGUCGAACGGCAGCACGGGGGCAGCCCUGGUGGCGAGUGGCGAACGGGUGAGUAAUACAUCGGAACGUGCCCGGUCGUGGGGGAUAACGUAGCGAAAGUUACGCUAAUACCGCAUACGAUCUGAGGAUGAAAGCGGGGGACCUUCGGGCCUCGCGCGAUCGGAGCGGCCGAUGUCAGAUUAGGUAGUUGGUGGGGUAAAGGCCUACCAAGCCGACGAUCUGUAGCUGGUCUGAGAGGACGACCAGCCACACUGGGACUGAGACACGGCCCAGACUCCUACGGGAGGCAGCAGUGGGGAAUUUUGGACAAUGGGCGCAAGCCUGAUCCAGCCAUUCCGCGUGCAGGACGAAGGCCUUCGGGUUGUAAACUGCUUUUGUACGGAACGAAAAGGCUCUGGCUAAUACCUGGGGCACAUGACGGUACCGUAAGAAUAAGCACCGGCUAACUACGUG